rnacentral:lncRNA from 1 species
AAUUCUUAUCGAAAAGCCCCCUCUUUUCUGGGAACGACUUGGUUGUUAGAUAUUGUGAGUUAUAAUAUUAAUGAUGAAUAAGUUCGUGUUGAUUAAAGAUGAAAUUGAUAGUUCCAUUUUAUUAGAAUUAUUAGUGUUGGUGGAAAUCGACAUUUAUUUUGAUAUUAAUUGAUGUCUGGAAGUUAUACUGACCAAUUGGGUAAUUAAUC